AUUGAACGCUGGCGGCAGGCCUAACACAUGCAGGUCGAACGGUAACAGGAAGCAGCUUGCUGCUUUGCUGACGAGUGGCGGACGGGUGAGUAAUGUCUGGGAAACUGCCUGAUGGAGGGGGAUAACUACUGGAAACGGUAGCUAAUACCGCAUAACGUCGCAAGACCAAAGAGGGGGACCUUAGGGCCUCUUGCCAUCGGAUGUGCCCAGAUGGGAUUAGCUAGUAGGUGGGGUAACGGCUCACCUAGGCGACGAUCCCUAGCUGGUCUGAGAGGAUGACCAGCCACACUGGAACUGAGACACGGUCCAGACUCCUACGGGAGGCAGCAGUGGGGAAUAUUGCACAAUGGGCGCAAGCCUGAUGCAGCCAUGCCGCGUGUAUGAAGAAGGCCUUCGGGUUGUAAAGUACUUUCAGCGGGGAGGAAGGGAGUAAAGUUAAUACCUUUGCUCAUUGACGGUACCCGCAGAAGAAGCACCGGCUAACUCCGUG
rnacentral:rRNA from 1 species